GUGUGUGUGUGUGUGUGUGUGUGUCGCUGUGUACUCGUUCUCAGAGAGAUACCUGGUCAGCAGCUGCCACUGCUACAUUCCUAUUUUGGUUAAAGGAAAACAUUGUGAUGAAUGAAUCAGAAUCAGAGUCUAUUUCUGCCAUGUGACGGUGUCCAAAACUGGCCAAAAAGUGACCCAAAUGCCCUAGUGUGUGACGCAAAAUAGCAGUCAACCAGUAGUCCAGGUGUCAAACGGUAACUGAAGACGGAUGGUAGCUCGUCGGAGCUUCUGUGUAUGGGUGUGAGUUGUCUCUCUCUCUCAAAAAAAAGAAACAUAUAACCUCUAACGCCCAGAAAUAGUCCUCUGAAUGACACCGUCAGCAUGAUGUGUAGUCUAUUAGCGUCCUGCCAGCAUGCUCAGCUCCUGCUGAGCUGAACCAGGCUGUAACAGCAGACAGUGCUGUUGUGGAUUAACCUACAUAACCAGCACUAAUGUAUUAAAAGGGUCUAAUGCAGGUAUUUAGCAUUUCUACAUUUAGAGCUGCCUCUGCUUCCCAAAAAGGUUCCCCGAUCGAAUGCAAUAAGCCUUUUAUAUGUUGAGAUUUACACAGUAUGACAAAACAUUACAUUGUGACACCAUUGUAUCAAUACACAUUCACUACAUGAGAAAGAGUCCAUUACGCAAUCACAUGCCCCACACACACACACACACACACACACACACACAACUACAGGCAAACAGAAGAGACCGACCAUCACCAGAACACAAUAAAGGUUGCUCAUGAGAUGCCCGUCAGGAUCUAAAGCAAUCUACUAAUUCACAUUCACGCACCCUCACUGUUAAUAAAGCCUCAGGAGCAAAUUGGGAGCAAAGAAACUUGGACAUAUUAAUUAAACUUCCCGCUUAGAGAAGGACCCGCUCUACCUCUGCGCCACAGCCGCCCCUGAACCCCGCCGAGCAGCUCGUUUGAAGAAGAAAGAGAGAGAAGAAGUGCUUACUUCUUUUAUGCAUGAACAUAGUACGACUUUUUCACAGCCAUCUUAUCUCUCAGCACCACGGGCUCAGGUCAACGUGACCCGGCUGGAACCGGGAUAAAGUGAACUUAUGAACUCAACACUUAUCCACAAUGAUGACAUGUGCAGCUGAUAAAGGCCUCUUUCCCUGCUGCUGUUCAGCCCGGGUGCAUCAUAAAUUACACUCUUUGCGUUGCAGCAGCAGUCCGAGGUGCCGGUCCUGGUACCACUGGGGAUGCGGGAGCCGCUGCGACGCUCUUGCUGGUCGAUGUGCUGACGGUCUGGAUUCCCACCGCUAACGAUGACGGAAUACAACCUGUCCUGCACGUGGAUAUUUUAGGAAGCCUGUCGAGUGACGGUAGAUGAGGAAUGCUCAUGAAAUAUGAGCGAAGGAAAAACGUUCUUCUAAGGCUCCUGACAUUGCACAUUUCUCACAUACAAUUUGGGAUUUCAAUUGAUUUUUAGUCUGCACGUUGUGCAUGUUCUCUAUAAACAUGGAUGAUGGAGGCAUUCAAAUGUAAACAAAAAAAAUAAAGACAUAUUUCAGCAGACCGACAUCUUGAUUGAUGUCACUUACAAACAUAUUGAGGACUUAUUUUGUAUGAACCAAUAAAAAAGGCUUUUCUUUGUAACAGGCAUUGUUCUUGGGAUAUUUUACGGACCAAAAAAUAUAAACUAAGAAAACAAUAAACUGAAUCUCUAGGGAGAACUAUCGCUAAAUUGAGUCCUACAUUGUAGCGGCCAAAAAUCAAGGGCUCAGAGGAAAUCAGUCUUCAGGAAACAUUUACUUGAACAAUUACAAAAUAAACCUCUAAAUCAGCAAAAGUGUCGACAUAAAAAAUGGACCCAUAGCUUCCUUUGGGAAAAUAUAGAUCACAAAUCCAUAAUUUUGCACCACUUUAGGAGGAGACUUGUUCUUUUUUCCCCUUUGCUAAAAAGAAAGGGAACCUAUGGGAAAUUGCUGUACACAUUUCCCAUAUGUUAUUGUUGACAGAUGCAUAUGAAAUAGUGCAGGAAAGCAGAGCCACUGAUGAGCAGCUGUUGAGAAGGGUGCAGUCCUCCACCCAUGCACCACCCCUGGACGUAGUGUCUGCACUCUAGCACCAAUUUACAGAGACUCAGGCACAAACUGGAAACCACAUUCAAAUAUCCAGAGCACAACACCAAAAGAGCAUUUUUCCAAACUACAUUAAACACACACACACACACACACACACACACACACACACACUACGCAAUUGGAUUUUGCUGCUGCAAAGAGCAGCGCAGAGUGACAUGAAGCAUGCGAGACCGACGCUCAGUGCUGCCAAAUUGAAGCUCUCUGUCUAAAGUGAAUUAUCUUUGGCUGAGCUGCCUCACUGGUGUGUGUGUGUGUGUGUGUGUGUGUGUGUGUGUGUGUCAUGCCAUCUAGAAGUAAAAUGUGUGGUUUUGUAUGUGUCCCGGAAUUAGUGUGACAUCUUUCCUGGUAAGGGUGUGUGUGUUUGUUUGGAUGUUGGGAAGCCUGAGAAACGACCGACGGGACACACAACUUGCAUGCGCACAAAUCUCUGGUAUUAAGAAUUCAGUCUCAAUAUUUCUGUUCGAGGGGUUUAUGAAUUUGCCACAUAUUCAAACAGUUACAUUCGUUACACAUGCUCGAAACAACAUAAAAAAUGAUAGAGGCGCCAUUUCAAAACAUCUAAGAGCCUGUGACUCUUGGCUGUUAUUGGUGUGACUACAAGACAUAGGACAUCUAUAUCAACUAGACAAGCAACCCUCCUAUUUUAUAACUAAUGGUGGCUAUUUCGGCAACAGUUAUGGGCUUACCAGCCGUCAUGGAUAAUGGCGUGGGCCAGGUUUCUGCACACCUGCACGGGUGUUUUCACUUACCCCGGCUAAUGGGGAGACCUUGAACCAGGUGCAACGAUUGGAAGCGCCCAUGUAGCCGGAUUAGUGACCUUAAAGCGUCCGAAACAAAUAGGAAAUAAUAAAGAAAGGCCCAACAUGCUGAUCGUAGUUAAUCAUCAGCAUUCUGCAGCAUGUCGUACUGUUUUUUGGUACUAAAACAAAGGGUUUCAUUCCAAAUGAUAUAGUUCUGUCUAACAAAGAUUUUAGCAUAAAUGUUCUCUAAAACUCUGUAAAACAUGUUAGGCAAUUAAAAGUUGCUGUGUUGAUGUUUUCAAUGCCUAUUAUAGAGCGUUUUAAUCUAAACAACUGUCGCGGUGCUUCUUCCCCUCAGGGAUCCUUUGAGUUCCUUUGAUCUCACAUGAACUAUUCAGAUAAGAAAGCGGAGGUCAUGCUGGGAACAGAUCACGACGUAAACACCCAAGCGAAAUUCUCAUCAUCAGAAGCAUCUGAAAAUAUUGUGCAUCUUGUAACAAACACCUUAAUAAAAAUGAUUUAAAUGAGCAUAACUGUUUCCUGUGUACCUAAAUAAUUAAUCAAACUACACAUCGUGUGUGCGUGUGUAUCUGUUACUGAAUGAGAGGGAGUUAU